rnacentral:rRNA from 1 species
AUGACCAAUUCGACGGUAAGCGCCUCUCCCCACAGCCCAUCCCUAACCCUAGCCCCAGCCCAGAUCCUAUCUCCGCCGCCUCCCGCCGCAGAACCAGACCGUGAGACGGUGCUGAACUACGUUUUCCAGGCGACCUCCGACGACGAGCUCUCCAUCUUCAAGGAGCUGGUCACGAUAAUACUGGACAAUGGCAGGGGCCGCCCCAAGGAAGCGAUUGAGGAAUUGAGGGUGGAAGAUGUCGGGCAGCUUGAAGGUUUCAGUGCGCUGCACAUUGCGGCCAGUAAAGGGAGUCUGGGGGUGUGCAGGUACCUCGUCGAGGAGCUGCUGGUAGAUGUGGAUCUGGUCGACAAGGAAGGCAAUUGUGAAAUGGUAGAGCUUUUGCUUGCAAAAGGAGCUUAUGUUGACCCGGUGUCUGCUUAUGGAACACCACUUCAUGUUGCUGCUGGUAAAGGGCAUUAUGGUGCUAUGAAGAUUUUACUGGACCACAAUGCAGAUUACAACAAGAUGGUAAAUGGCGUGACACCUCUUAUUGUUGCUACAGAUGCCAAGUCAAUGAAAUGUAUCAAGCUCCUAGUUAAGCAGGGGCCUAUGCUUAAACGGAAAAUCAUGACAUCAGGGCUUAUAUCACGAGGGAGCAACUCUUUAAAGAACAAGGAUUAUGUUGUCGCAGCAAAAUUGUACAGUAAGGCAAUGGUGCUUGAUGCUGAUGAUGCAGUCUUGUUCUCAGACAGGAGCCUUUGUUGGCUUCAACUGGGUGAUGGAAAAAAGGCUUUGCUAGAUGCUAAUAGAUGCAGAAAAAUGCGGCCUCACUGGCCAAAAGCUUGUCACCGGCAGGGUGAAGCUCGGAUGCUACUGAAGGACUAUGAGGGCGCAAGUGAACGGUUCUUGGAUGGACUCAAGUUGGACCCAGUGGACACUGAUAUCGAGGCUGCAUUACGGGAAGCUAUGAAGUCCUUGAAGACGUCUAGGUCUCGGAGCAUGAGAGCCAAUUGA